CCAGUGCUGCAUGUUAAUUGGAAAUGGAAAGAAUUUAGUUGGCAACAUUCUAGUGUUGUAGUAUGUAACAGAAUGAAAGUGGUGAAUUAAAAAAGGUCGUUGUUUCAAGCAACGCAACUUGAUACAUAAAACAGUAUGUCAUAUGAAUCUAAUUUAACAUCAUAUAAAUUUCCUGACGCGAAAAUUAAAUAAUUGGUUUAAUCAGCUAUGAAAUGAUUUAAACAUAAACAUACAAGCAUUUUCUUGGUUCCACAUUAUUUUGCUGGUGACAAUAACAUCAUAAGUCUGUGUCCAAUAAAAUUUUCUCAUGGGUCAUAUCACCAAAACUACCCAGCUCUCUAUCUGCAUAUGCAUUUUCUGCACUCCAAAAAUUUUAGGUAUGCAGCAUCUAUGCCAUUACAAGGUUUGACAGCCAUCUUAAAGCGAAAAUUUAAUGAGUGAAGUUUUAGAUGGUACAUUAAAGAUCUACACCUUCAACUGAUAAAUGGGGCCAAAUGCCAAAAUUUGUCUUAAACAUAGGAUUGAAAAAUUGUGAAUUUCAUUUAGAUAGAACUAAUUUAUUAAAAUAAAAAGGUAUUAGUGUUCACUGUUGGUACAAUAAAAACACAGCUAUACCUUACCAUGAGCUGUUAUCUUCUCAGCUCAGCAAAUGCAGUUCCUACAGAAAGUUAGAAAUGCAGAAACGCCAACAUCUAGAUUGUAAGCCACAUUUAUAGCGUAUCUCAAGUAAAUCAAUAGUUGACAUCUAAUCUAACCCACAUCAGUUUUCGCCCAAUACUAUGCCCCUAUAAAAAACUUGACUUAGCAUUCAAAGGAGUUCUUCAACCUAUCAAUUUUGACGUUUCAAGUUUCAUCAACCAUAAGAACUUAUGAUAUCAGAAAUCUAUAACUUCAAAUUAGAAGAAAUUGAUCUGUGAAGAGUUAAUUAGAACAUAC
rnacentral:misc_RNA from 1 species